GCAAGUCGAACGGAAAGGCCCUGCUUGCAGGGUGCUCGAGUGGCGAACGGGUGAGUAACACGUGGGUGAACUGACCCUUACUUUGGGAUAAGCCUGGGAAACUGGGUCUAAUACUGGAUAGGACCAUGCUGUAGAUGGUGUGGUGGAAAGAUUUUUUCGGGAAGGGAUAAGCUCACGGCCUAUCAGCUUGUUGGUGGGGUAAUGGCCUACCAAGGCGUCGACGGGUAGCCGGCCUGAGAGGGUGGAC
rnacentral:rRNA from 1 species